UACGUAGGGUGCGAGCGUUGUCCGGAAUUAUUGGGCGUAAAGGGCUCGUAGGCGGUUUGUCGCGUCGGGAGUGAAAAUCCAGGGCUUAACUCUGGACUGGCUUCCGAUACGGGCAGACUAGAGGUAUGCAGGGGAGAACGGAAUUCCUGGUGUAGCGGUGAAAUGCGUAGAUAUCGGAAGGAACACCGGUGGCGAAAGCGGCGCGCUGGACCUCUUCUGACGCUGAGGCGCGAAAGCCAGGGGAGCAAAGCGGG
rnacentral:rRNA from 1 species